rnacentral:rRNA from 1 species
UACGUAGGGUGCGAGCGUUGUCCGGAAUUAUUGGGCGUAAAGAGCUUGUAGGCGGUUUGUCGCGUCUGCUGUGAAAAUCCGGGGCUCAACCCCGGACUUGCAGUGGGUACGGGCAGACUAGAGUGUGGUAGGGGAGACUGGAAUUCCUGGUGUAGCGGUGAAAUGGGCAGAUAUCAGGAGGAACACCGAUGGCGAAGGCAGGUCUCUGGGCCACUACUGACGCUGAGAAGCGAAAGCAUGGGGAGCGAACAGGAUUAGAUACCCU